UACGAAGGGGGCUAGCGUUGCUCGGAAUUACUGGGCGUAAAGCGCACGUAGGCGGAUUGUUAAGUCGGGGGUGAAAUCCUGGAGCUCAACUCCAGAACUGCCUUCGAUACUGGCGAUCUCGAGUCCGGGAGAGGUGAGCGGAACUGCGAGUGUAGAGGUGAAAUUCGUAGAUAUUCGCAAGAACACCAGUGGCGAAGGCGGCUCACUGGCCCGGUACUGACGCUGAGGUGCGAAAGCGUGGGGAGCAAACAGG
rnacentral:rRNA from 1 species